GUCGCCUCCUAAAAGGUAACGGAGGCGCUCAAAGGUUCCCUCAGAAUGGUUGGAAAUCAUUCAUAGAGUGUAAAGGCAUAAGGGAGCUUGACUGCGAGACCUACAAGUCGAGCAGGGUCGAAAGACGGACUUAGUGAUCCGGUGGUUCCGCAUGGAAGGGCCAUCGCUCAACGGAUAAAAGCUACCCCGGGGAUAACAGGCUUAUCUCCCCCAAGAGUUCACAUCGACGGGGAGGUUUGGCACCUCGAUGUCGGCUCAUCGCAUCCUGGGGCUGUAGUCGGUCCCAAGGGUUGGGCUGUUCGCCCAUUAAAGCGGUACGCGAGCUGGGUUCAGAACGUCGUGAGACAGUUCGGUCCCUAUCCGUCGUGGGCGUAGGAAAUUUGAGAGG
rnacentral:rRNA from 1 species